AUUCAGAUUAAUGCUCCAUGGUUUAUCGAUAUGGCAUCGUAUUGAUAAUAAAGAUUUAUCGGUNUAAGAUGGGCAUGCGUAUCAUUAGCUAGCUGGUGUGGUAACGGCAUACCAAGGCAACGAUGAUUAGGGGUCCUGAGAGGGAGAUCCCCCACACUGGUACUGAGACACGGACCAUACUCCUACGGGAGGCAGCAGUGAGGAAUAUUGGUCAAUGGAGGCAACUCUGGAACCAGCCAUGCCGCGUGCAGGAUGACGGUCCUAUGGAUUGUAAACUGCUUUUGUACAGGAAGAAACCUCCCUACGAGUAGNGACUUGACGGUACUGUAAGGAAUAAGGAUCGGCUAACUCCGUGCCAGCAGCCGCGGUAAUACGGAGGAUCCGAGCGUUAUCCGGGAAUUAUUGG
rnacentral:rRNA from 1 species